rnacentral:rRNA from 1 species
UACGGAGGGUGCAAGCGUUAUCCGGAUUCGCUGGGUUUAAAGGGUGCGUAGGCGGGUUGGUAAGUCCGUGGUGAAAUCUCCGAGCUUAACUCGGAAACUGCCGUGGAUACUAUCAAUCUUGAAUAUCGUGGAGGUAAGCGGAAUAUGUCAUGUAGCGGUGAAAUGCUUAGAUAUGACAUAGAACACCAAUUGCGUAGGCAGCUUGCUACACGAUCAUUGACGCUGAGGCACGAAAGCGUGGGGAGCAAACAGG